rnacentral:rRNA from 1 species
GGAAUCUUCCACAAUGGGCGAAAGCCUGACGGAGCAACGCCGCGUGUGUGAUGAAGGGUUUCGGCUCGUAAAACACUGUUGUAAGAGAAGAAUGACAUUGAGAGUAACUGUUCAAUGUGUGACGGUAUCUUACCAGAAAGGAACGGCUAAAUACGUGCCAC